GCCACUACACUCCAGAGCGCUCCCGUCCCACUUGUUACAAGUGCAAGCAACCGGGGCACCUGAUUGCUAAUUGCCCCCUCAACAAUAACUACCCCACACGGAACUAUAGUUCGUCCCCGUCGGGAAGUAAUCGCCCAGCCCAAGCUUUUUGCCUUGAGCAGGACAGCCUUUUAGAAGAAUACCUGGGACCCCUACAUGAAGCUAACCCCGUGUAUGCCGCAAGUGACAGUAGGCAAC